CUUGGAUCAUCACCAGGACUCAGCAAGCUCAUGUUUAUGCUCAUACUAUGUACUAUGAAGAAUUCUAUAUCUGCCUGAUUCCAUGUGUUGGCAAGGAUGGAUCUCACAUAGAGUGAAAGGACAGAAUAUGCCUGUUUGGGAAUAUCCUCAUACUUUUUCUCUGGCACAGCUGAUGUUUUUAUACAGUCUCUAACUCAAAAAAGCAGUCCUAACAGCUUGACGGCAAGCAUGUUUGAUAUCAUCAUUGUUGACAAAGGAGACACCAGUCUCCUCCCAAGCCAUUAUUGUGGGGAGAGAGGGAAAAGCAAGAAGUGUCAAAGGGAAAAAAAGGGAACAGAAGGAGAAUCAACCCAGUGUAUGGGGCAACUAUGGAAUCUGACAGAGGUGCGGCAUUACCAGACUACGCCAGGGGGCGCUAUGGUGAAAUGAACUGCUCAGAGAUGAAACCAAACAGACACUGUUGUA